CUGCUUGGAAGCAGCAGAUUUAACUGUGGCACUGCCACACCAGACCCAAACCUGGUUCUGCUGGAGCUGGGCCAGGUAAGGAGGAAGAGAGAAGCACUAGGGUGUGGUUGAGACAAGCAUAGCCCGGUGUUAGUUUACACAUUCCAUUAAUUAGUGCUGCAUCGGGGCUCUUGGCAGAUCAUCAGGGCCUUGAUUUUAAAACGAGGUUUCCAACGGCAAAGGGGAAUUCAGCUUUGUGGAACGCUGGUGAUGCCUCAUUCCCUCUCUGCUGCGUUUUAACCAACAUCGAGGAGUUUAAGCCUUAAAAUGUUCGGAGCACCUACUGCGUUCCGGUUUGGGUACCUGAGUUCUGCACAAAAAGCCACAGGGCAAGGCACAGAAAUCGCCAGCAAUGAUGGGCUGUGGGAGGAAGCAGUGAGCCAGGGGGCUGGUCCUGCACCCCAUGCUUGGCACAUCUCCCCAGCACAGCAUGGCCAGGAUGAGGCCAUCGGUCCCUCCACGCCGCCAC
rnacentral:lncRNA from 1 species